rnacentral:rRNA from 1 species
GACGAACGCUGGCGGCGUGCCUAAUACAUGCAAGUCGAACGCUUCUUUCCUCCCGAGUGCUUGCACUCAAUUGGAAAGAGGAGUGGCGGACGGGUGAGUAACACGUGGGUAACCUACCCAUCAGAGGGGGAUAACACUUGGAAACAGGUGCUAAUACCGCAUAACAGUUUAUGCCGCAUGGCAUAAGAGUGAAAGGCGCUUUCGGGUGUCGUUGAUGGAUGGACCCGCGGUGCAUUAGCUAGUUGGUGAGGUAACGGCUCACCAAGGCCACGAUGCAUAGCCGACCUGAGAGGGUGAUCGGCCACACUGGGACUGAGACACGGCCCAGACUCCUACGGGAGGCAGCAGUAGGGAAUCUUCGGCAAUGGACGUAAGUCUGACCGAGCAACGCCGCGUGAGUGAAGAAGGUUUUCGGAUCGUAAAACUCUGUUAUUAGAGAAGAACAAGGACGUUAGUAACUGAACGUCCCCUGACGGUAUCUAACCAGAAAGCCACGGCUAACUACGUG